UACGAAGGGUGCAAACGUUGCUCGGAAUUAUUGGGCGUAAAGCGCACGUAGGCGGCUUGGCAAGUCGGAUGUGAAAUCCCUCGGCUCAACCAAGGAAGUGCAUCCGAAACUGCUGAGCUUGAGUACUUAAGAGGAUCGCGGAAUUCCCGGUGUAGAGGUGAAAUUCGUAGAUAUCGGGAGGAACACCAGUGGCGAAGGCGGCGUUCUGGACUGCAACUGACACUGAUGAACGAAAGCCAGGGGAGCAAACGGG
rnacentral:rRNA from 1 species